GUACACUCCUGCGGGAGGCAGCAGUGGGGAAUAUUGCACAAUGGGCGCAAGCCUGAUGCAGCGACGCCGCGUGGGGGAUGAAGGCCUUCGGGUUGUAAACUCCUUUCGCUAGGGACGAAGCUUUUUUGUGACGGUACCUAGAUAAGAAGCACCGGCUAACUACGUGCCAGCAGCCGCGGUAAUACGUAGGGUGCGAGCGUUGUCCGGAAUUACUGGGCGUAAAGGGCUCGUAGGUGGUUUGUCGCGUCGUCUGUGAAAUUCUGGGGCUUAACUCCGGGCGUGCAGGCGAUACGGGCAUAACUUGAGUGCUGUAGGGGUAACUGGAAUUCCUGGUGUAGCGGUGAAAUGCGCAGAUAUCAGGAGGAACACCGAUGGCGAAGGCAGGUUACUGGGCAGUUACUGACGCUGAGGAGCGAAAGCAUGGGUAGCGAACAGGAUUAGAAACCCCGGUAGUCCCAUGAU
rnacentral:rRNA from 1 species